rnacentral:lncRNA from 1 species
AGCAUUUGUCACCAAUACAAGUACACACCCGUGAUAUCGCGGGUCCGUGACUGAAUUUAAAGUAUAUAACUAUGCCUAAGCCUUAUUUUAGUAAUUAGUAUUGUCAUCUGAUAAAGUCAUGUCGAUUAUAAGAUAUAAAGUUUUCUCUGCUUUCAAAUCUUUCUGUUUGAACCCGUCGACCUGGAACUGAUCAAUUAUUGGUAACAUUAAUUAUUUGGAAAACAAAAGGUCCUGACUAUCCAGGAAUGGAGUAUUUUUUAAUCAACAGCAUUGUCCUAUAUUAGUUAUCUUAGAAAGUCUUGCUGAUUGCUGAAUAAAACUACAAUAGGGAACAAUUUGACAAUGAUUGACUUUAGUAGUGUCAGCCCUUUGAUUAUGACCUGUGUAUAUAGCAAAAUCCUAAAUACACCGUUUGGUGGUGCGCCUGUCAAAUGCGGAACGUACAGAUAAGGUAAUAGCUAACAGGUGAACAUACUAUUGGUAUCGGUAUCGGAUUCGACCCGGAACUUGUUAAUUAUUGGCAAUAUUAAUUAUGUGGAAAACAAAAGGGUCUGG